rnacentral:lncRNA from 1 species
GAAAAGAUAGAAAUGGGCCACAGCUCAGGACCUUGGGAUUUCAGGAUUCGCCGUUUGAGCUCAGCUAUGUGAGCUCAGGGACUCCGCAGAGGACAGCGGGACUCUGAGGGCAAGGGGACACCAGUGUGGCUGAUCAGGCAGGCACCGGGAGCCGGCUGGCAGGUACCUCUGGGCACACUGGAUUAAUUCCCAGGGCGGCCGUCACAUCAGUGACGUUGGCACUGACCACACAUGGAGAGGACAGAAUUUAAAGAGUCUGAGUUUUUCAUCUCUCUCUGCUGUUUUCUCUCUGGUUUCCCUUUUACCGUUUUAACAAGUCCCACCAUACUCAGUUCCAGCCUGGGACACACACUUGUGGAUUGCUAAUGGGUGGAAAGUUGUGCGUGCCAUGUUGUGUUGCUGACACCAAAGGCUAAAGCCCAGGACCUGGCCCCAGGUUAGGCCCACACAUGCCUGGGCUGUCCCGUCUCGGGGACUCCCAGGUUGGAGCUGAAGGUCUUCGGGCUCUGGUCCCCACGGGGCCCCCUCGCUGGGGAGUGUGUCCAGCCCUGUCCUCCAGCAUUGGGCCCCUGCCUCCCCAGACAUGGCCCUCAGGGCGGAGGGGACCACAGACAUCCUGAGGUAAACUCUCCUCCGUGUUGGAAAUAUGAAAAAUAAAAAAGGAAGGACUGAGGGAAGAGACGGGGAAUGGUUUACUUCCUCAAAAUUCCAUGUUAACGAGUUCCCGCUG